rnacentral:rRNA from 1 species
CCUACGGGAGGCAGCAGUGAGGAAUAUUGGUCAAUGGGCGCAAGCCUGAACCAGCCAUGCCGCGUGCAGGAUGACGGUCCUAUGGAUUGUAAACUGCUUUUGUACAGGAAGAAACCCUCCUACGUGUAGGAGCUUGACGGUACUGUAAGAAUAAGGAUCGGCUAACUCCGUGCCAGCAGCCGCGGUAAU